rnacentral:lncRNA from 10 species
GGUGAUUCUCCAAAUCUUUCUAGAAAGAAAAUAGGAUGUGUAGGAAAUUACUCACAAUGUUUAGUAAUAACACCAAAAACUACUGUCAUCAGUGUACUCAUAAGGCAAAUGCAUUUUGCUUGAAAGGGAGAAUGUCCAUAUUCUAAAUAAAUUAUGAUAGCUUCCUCUAAAUGAGUCAAGCAGCUUGUGCUUAUGAGCCAGUGACAGAAAUGAGCCACCGUCUUUUGUCCUGUGCUGCAACAGGCUGCUUUUUCUUAUGGGCUAGUCCUUUAUACUUUUUCAGAAUCAAAUGCUCUUUAUUUUGCUCCCAUAACUCCAGGCAAUGACUAUGACACCAGGUUGCUAAGAGCCAUUUUCUUCCCUGAAGAAUAUUCUAUUUUAAAAUGCCUACAAAUCUAUUUCCUACUUCAUCAGAAAUUGUUAAUGAGAAUAUUCCAGUUCCACAUCUUUUUUUUUUGAGAGGGAGUCUCGCUCUGUCGCUCAGGCUGGAGUGCAGCGGCACGAUCUCGGCUCACUGCAAGCUUCGCCUCCCAGGUUCAUGCCAUUCUCCCGCCUCAGCCUCUCUCUACAGGCCUCAGCCUCACUACAGGCCUCAGCCUCUCAGUACAGGCACCUGCCAUCACGCCCGGCUAAUUCCUUGUUUUUGUAUUUUUAGUAGAGACGGGGUUUCACCGUGUUAGCCAGGAUGGUCUCAAUCUCCUGACCUUGUGAUCUGCCCACGGUGGCCUCCCUAAGUGCUGGGAUUACAGGCAUGAACCACUGCACCCGGCCCAGUUCCACAUCUUAAAACCAGAGCAUUUAAUCCAAACUAAAUAUAGUUCUUAAUAAUAGAAUUGCAUUGGAAGUAUCUGUGCUUUACUAAACCUUA